AAGUCGUAGUUGAAUNUGUGUUCAAACGUGCCGGUCCAUCGCUCGCCGAUGGNUUACUGGCAUGAGGUGGAACGUCCUACCGGUGGGCUUAGCCCUUCGGGGCGGUCCAACUAAUAUCCCAUCGCGGUGCUCUUCACUGAGUGUCGAGGUGGGCCGGUACGUUUACUUUGAACAAAUUAGAGUGCUUAAAGCAGGCUACUUUUGCCUGAAUACUGUGUGCAUGGAAUAAUGGAAUAGGACCUCGGUUCUAUUUUGUUGGUUUUCGGAACCCCGAGGUAAUGAUUAAUARGGACAGAUGGGGGCAUUCGUAUUGCGACGUUAGA
rnacentral:rRNA from 1 species